rnacentral:misc_RNA from 1 species
GCGGAGGGAUCAUUACCGAGUUUACAACUCCCAAACCCAAUGUGAACGUUACCAAACUGUUGCCUCGGCGGGAUCUCUGCCCCGGGUGCGUCGCAGCCCCGGACCAAGGCGCCCGCCGGAGGACCAACCAAAAACUCUUUUGUAUACCCCCUCGCGGGUUUUUAUAUAUCUGAGCCAUCUCGGCGCCUCUCGUAGGCGUUUCGAAAAUGAAUCAAAACUUUCAACAACGGAUCUCUUGGUUCUGGCAUCGAUGAAGAACGCAGCGAAAUGCGAUAAGUAAUGUGAAUUGCAGAAUUCAGUGAAUCAUCGAAUCUUUGAACGCACAUUGCGCCCGCCAGUAUUCUGGCGGGCAUGCCUGUCCGAGCGUCAUUUCAACCCUCGAACCCCUCCGGGGGGUCGGCGUUGGGGAUCGGCCCUUUACGGGGCCGGCCCCGAAAUACAGUGGCGGUCUCGCCGCAGCCUCUCCUGCGCAGUAGUUUGCACACUCGCAUCGGGAGCGCGGCGCGUCCAUUGCCGUAAAACACCCAACUUUCUGAAAUGUUGACCUCGGAUCAGGUAGGAAUACCCGCUGAACUUAA